CCAGCUCUGCUUUGUUACACAUGAUCAAAGACUGUAUAGAAUAGCAAAGAACAAAAUAGAGAAUCAAUUAACACAAACGAAAUCCCUCCAAGAUACAUACUUAAAGGACAAGCCAUUUCACAGGGUUUCUGAAUGCUCUUUCAGGGAGUCAGUUUUUUUAUGAGAGGGGCUUAUUUAGCAGGAAAUUUUUCAGGUCUGAAUCUAAACAAUUCAGACCUGAAGAUGACAUUCCACUGAAAAAGGGAAAAAGAAACACCGUACACAUACCCUUCCCCUUUCUCUUUUCAUGGCUACACCUCCCUAUUAAGAUGUGGUUUGCACAUGCCAAAGUUGCUCCUCCUGCUACCCCAGAGGAGCAAAAUCAGAAAAAAAAGGGAAUAAAGGGAGAAAACAAACACCAAUGCGGCAAGUAAAAUAGCUUUCUGGGGGGCGUCCUCUUCCUUUCCCCCCGGCGCAUGCCCACAGCUCGCCCCCAUGCCGACGGCAAAAGCCGUCGGCACCUUUGCUUUGGAAGGAAGAAGGCUGAAGAGGCUGGCCGGCCGCGGGGGUGGCUUCCACUACCCCAAGAGAAAAGAGAGCUAUCAUAGCAGCAUAGAGUUCUUGGGGCUGAUGGGGUAGUAGAGCAAGAGCAUCGUAGCAGCUAUAGGGAUAUCAUGCAGAAAAUGCACCGUGGUUUUUGCAGGUUGCAGGUGCGUGCUUUCGGAUUGAGCCUGACUGUUGGUGUGUGUGCUUUGGGUUCGCUUUUGUUCUGCUUUGGCCUGUGAAAGAAGGGGAUGAUUCCGCUUUGGCGAGUGCAAACAAGGCUCUCAAAGUGUGCUUACCCGCUUUAGGAGCUGCUCAGACCUGCCGCCUCGCUGAGAUUAUGUUUUUAUAUAUUUAUAUAUAUACCCUUCUCUUGCAUUGCACUGCAUGUGUAUACAGAGCUGUAGAUCCCUUUGUUUGCUUGGCGUCGACAUGCAGAAGCAAAGAUUCAGAACAGAGGCCGAUGACUGAUUCAACUCCCAGUCAAGUUUCAGCAUUCAGGUUUUUGCAACUGGAUUUUCGCGAGGAACAAAGACAACCUUGUGAAGGUCACAACUCAGUAUCACUCACAAGCAUGGGCCAUGGAGUUGUGGUGGUGGCGGGCGCCGGCAGUAGGAUGACGGGGCCAUGCACGCUCGAUGGCAACGGGGCGUGCCUGUUGGGGCGAAAAGAUUAAAGACGGCAGGGGCAUGAUGGCAUCCGUGGAUGAUGCGGGGGGAGAAUGAUGGAGCGGUUGACAAUCCACGUAAAAAUUCUGAUAACCGAAUUCCUCGCGAUCAUUAGCUGUCGGCCUCUGCACUGCAUCCCUCCACGAAACGGAAAAGCUAGCGUUUCCUCAUCUUUUUGGCGACGGUGUCAGCAGACGGCAGAGUUCGUUGCUAGGCCCUCUCUUCUGCUGCGUUCAGCAUUCCGACCGAGUGCUUCUUGCUGUCUCGCGAAGUCGUGUGUGUGAGACUCUGAUGGCGAUUACUUUUCUCCCUCUUUAUCUGAGCGAGGAAAGAGACCGAAAGACUCAUGAUCCAUCCACUUGAAUCUGAUGAAGAACAUCGGACCGAAUUACUGGGCCAAGUAGUUUUCCGAGACGACGGACGGUGGAACAUUUUCUUUACCUGUGUGAUUGUACAAAGUUAAUCACAAGCAGCAGCCUAGCAGGCAGCAGCAGGAGAUGUCUGUCGGCCGAUGGUGGCUGGGUGAGUCGCGAUUAAAUUAGGGGUGUAUAUGCAUACAUUCGGAUCGCGAUUAUUAAUCGCGAUCCAAAAAUAGAGGGUUAUUUGCAUAUAUUCGGAUUGCGAUUUAAUAGUCUCGAUCCAAAUCCGGGGGCAUUUUGCAAAUGUUCUGGGGCCUGGGGGCGGCGACAGUCUCGCCGCCGGCGACUUCCUCCGCUAUCCCACGGCGAAGCAUCCCGCGCCCAUAAGUGCCGAAUCCACACGCACAGGGUUUGGCAAAGGCAGGAUCCAGAGAUCGAGCGACAGAGAGGGGUCGGGAGGAGAAGCAGGCAUCGCCUCGCCGGUGGGCGUAGCAGCCAGGCCAACUGCGCACGGCGGCAGCUCGGACCCUCCACUCCGAGGCGAGGACUGGAGGAGCUCAACCCGACGACGUCGGCGGAGCGCGAUUUCUGCUGCUCCGGCUCGGUUGUUGCCUGGUCGGCAAGCAUCGAUUUGAUGGCUCCCCGCUGCCGGCUGUCGACUUCCAAUGUCAACCUUCACCUUCAGGCUUCAGUUUAGAACAAAUAUCCGUGUACCACUGCCGGCUGUCGAUUUCUGAUGUCAACUUCCCCAGGUAUGUGUCCAUAUACUCUGAAGAUUCCAAUUAUCUUCAACUCCAAUCUGAAGCAUAGCUCUGCCUUUCCUUGUGCAAUUUAGUACGCCGCUAGUUAUUUCCAGCCAACCUAUUUCUAGAAAGGACCUAAAUGCAGUUGAUAGCUUCAGUUGCCAUAAACGUUCUGUUUUUUUUUUUUGAAAAGAAAAGGCAGGAGCACUGCCAUAUCAUAUAAACGUUCUGGUGACUUUUGAUCCUUUUGGUUACUGAUGUUGCCAAGAUACAUGGAAAAUUGGAGGCAAUCGCAUGGAAAUCUUAAAAUGCCUCUCAACUAUUGCACUAGAGUUACUUGUUCUGCUGUCAGAGAUAAAUAGUUCGGAACAGAUACCUGCUUCACAUCAGUUAGCCUUAGUUGCCACUUGCCAAGCAUAUGUGUUCAAAGACCCAUAUUCAUGCUAUAACAAGUAAAACAAAAGGUUACAGAAAAGAACUACUCAUGCCAUAUGGAUGCACGAUUAUCUUAUCUUAAUCCAUAGAACACGAAAAAACCUGAGUGAAGAACAAAGGGAAGAAAGCAGAAGAGAACAUACAUAUUGCAGGAGUGUUUUUGACAAUGAAUCAGUGACCGCUGACCAGCUCUGUGACCGCAUUCACCAAGACGUCGCUGCCUAGCACAAAGUAGCAUGGAGAUUUCAGAGUAGUUCAUUGUUGCCCCUCCAUAACCAUGGUUGUCAGACUGGGAACACUAUGCUAACUAAAUAUUGCUACCUAGUUGUUUUUUCCUUUUAUUUUCUCUCUCUCUGAACCCUAAGGGCUUUUAAUGUACAUAACUUUCUUUUUACAUGAUGAAAUGGCAGAGCAACUGCCCAAGCUUGCUCGGGAAAAAAAACACUGUCAGGUUCUGAACUGCUAAAGGCCGGCAUUCCUUGAAGAACCAUCUUAGACAUAUACCUGUCUUUUAUUCAUACAAUUGUGUUUUGUAACCGUUGGUUAUUUAUUACAUUGGUAGUUCUGCUCCGUUAUAGACAGUUAUCCUCCAGCAGAACUUUGUUAUACUCAUGUUAGAUGGUAUGGUGUUUCCUGGAACUGGCUAAUAAAAUGUCAUUAUCUCAA